rnacentral:lncRNA from 1 species
ACAUCAGCUGUUGUGACCAUGGCUGACGAGAGAGCGGCUGGACUCCAUGCCGGAUACUUCGCUUUGAGCAAAGCAGAAAGACCCGCAACGUGGGGCGUCGCCAUACUUGUUCCCGAGAUCAUGGCAAAAUGUUCACCUACAGGUACAAAAACAAGCCACCUCAAUGCAGUUCUCGAAAAGCAUUCUAAACCCAUCCAUCCAUUUCUCUGAGGAUUGUAUCUUCCAGAUGACACAGACGUUGGAAGUAAUUGCAUGCGAUCAUGUUCAGUGCAAGAGACAACAGAUUCAGCGAUUCCAGUGGAGUACUGGUAUUGACAAUGCAGUAGAGCUUACCUUGAUAAGCGGCAUUAUCAAUUGCGAUGGGUGUCCACGCUCCCCAGAUGAGGAAGCCUGGCCCCAUAAC